rnacentral:rRNA from 1 species
ACUCCUACGGGAGGCAGCAGUGGGGAAUAUUGCACAAUGGGCGCAAGCCUGAUGCAGCCAUGCCGCGUGUGUGAAGAAGGCCUUCGGGUUGUAAAGCACUUUCAGUCGUGAGGAAGGUAGUGUAGUUAAUAGCUGCAUUAUUUGUACGUUAGCGACAGAAGAAGCACCGGCUAACUCCGUGCCAGCAGCCGCGGUAAUACGGAGGGUGCGAGCGUUAAUCGGAAUUACUGGGCGUAAAGCGCAUGCAGGUGGUUGUUAAGUCAGAUGUGAAAGCCCGGGGCUCAACCUCGGAAUAGCAUUUGAAACUGGCAGACUAGAGUACUGUAGAGGGGGUAGAAUUUCAGGUGUAGCGGUGAAAUGCGUAGAGAUCUGAAGGAAUACCGGUGGCGAAGGCGGCCCCCGUGGACAGAUACUGACACUCAGAUGCGAAAGCGUGGGAGCAAACAGGAUUAGAUACCCCGUGGUAGACUGUCA